GGGGGAAUAUUGGACAAUGGGGGCAACCCUGAUCCAGCAACGCCGCGUGGGGGAUGAAGGUCCUAGGAUUGUAAACCCCUGUUGGGAGGGACGAAGGCUUGCGGGCGAACAGUCCGUAUGCUUGACGGUACCUCCAGAGGAAGCCCCGGCUAACUCUGUGCCAGCAGCCGCGGUAAUACAGAGGGGGCGAGCGUUAUUCGGAAUUAUUGGGCGUAAAGGGCGCGUAGGCGGCCAGGCAAGUCUUGGGUGAAAUCCCUCGGCUCAACCGAGGAACUGCCCCGGAAACUGCCUGGCUUGAGGCCGGGAGAGGAUGGUGGAAUUCCCAGUGUAGCGGUGAAAUGCGUAGAUAUUGGGAGGAACACCGGUGGCGAAGGCGGCCAUCUGGACCGGUCCUGACGCUGAGGCGCGAAAGCGUGGGGAGCAA
rnacentral:rRNA from 1 species